UCCAUUCAGCUGUCCAAAUGUA
rnacentral:miRNA from 1 species